AGAGGGUGCGAGCGUUAAUCGGAUUUACUGGGCGUAAAGGGCACGUAGGCGGUUGUAUGAGUGUGAUGUGAAAGCCCCCGGGGCUUAACCUGGGAAGUGCAUCGCAAACGAUACGACUGGAGUAUAUGAGAGGGUGGCGGAAUUUCCGGUGUAGCGGUGAAAUGCGUAGAGAUCGGAAGGAACGUCGAUGGCGAAGGCAGCCACCUGGCAUAAUACUGACGCUGAGGUGCGAAAGCGUGGGGAGCGAACAGGAUUAGAUACCCUGGUAGUCCACGCUGUAAACGAUGUGAACUAAAUGUUGGUGGGGGAACCCAUCAGUAUUGAAGCUAACGCGAUAAGUUCACCGCCUGGGAAGUACAAACCGCAAGGUUG
rnacentral:rRNA from 1 species